UGUCACCCAAAAUUAUGACCCUAGAAUCGAUCUAUUGCAUUUCAAUCUGUUUUAGGGUUAGGGGGAAGGGUAUCUUUUUUUCUUCACAAAUGUAAAUAAACCCAAUCUGUUUCUUAAACGCGGGACAUAUUCAAACGGCACAGACUGUUUUUUACCUCAAUAGACGGUCAUUGAUUGGUUGAAAUUACCGAAAUUGAAUAAAA